CCCAAAAAUGGGAAUACACAUGGAAAAAACGAGAGAAAAAGGAAAUAAAACAAGUUUGGUCGGCAAACAAUGCUGCGAUGGCCGUUGGCGUCGGUGUGUCUCCGUAUUUGUUCUUUCUUUACCCCCCGUUUUUCUUUUUUUGUC
rnacentral:ribozyme from 1 species